UUACGACCACAUCACGUUGAAACAUCCGUUCCCAUACGAUCUCCGAAGUUAAGCAACGUCGAAUCUGGUAAGAUGGGUGACUGCUUGGGAAUACCAAGUGC